UAAGGAAUAUUGGUCAAUGGACGCAAGUCUGAACCAGCCAUGCCGCGUGAAGGAUGAAGGUCCUCUGGAUUGUAAACUUCUUUUAUCUGGGACGAAAACGGGAUUUUUAUCUCAAUUGACGGUACCAGAGGAAUAAGCACCGGCUAACUCCGUGCCAGCAGCCGCGGUAAUACGGAGGGUGCGAGCGUUAUCCGGAUUUACUGGGUUUAAAGGGUGCGUAGGUGGGCUUAUAAGUCAGUGGUGAAAUCUCCGAGCUUAACUUGGAAACUGCCGUUGAUACUAUAGGUCUUGAAUUAUCUGGAGGUCAGCGGAAUAUGUCAUGUGGCGGUGAAAUGCUUAGAUAUGACAUAGAACACCAAUUGCGAAGGCAGCUUACUACAUAUAAAUUGACGCUGAGGCACGAAGGCGUGGGGAUCAAACA
rnacentral:rRNA from 1 species